AGUCAUAUCCUUUCUUUAUUUGUUUUUUCUCUGUCUAUCUACCCAUCUAUCUGUGUGCAUACAUAUACACACUGUGUGUGCAUUGCCAAUCAUUCAAACAAACUCAUAUUAACACAAUGUAAAAAUGAAGAAAAAAAUCACAUGAUUACAUCAAUUGAUUAAGAAAAGGCAGCCAAACAACAAAAUCCAGCUUCCUUUCAUGAUAGGAGCUCUCUUCAGACAGAAUGGGAAGGCGCUUCAUUCUCACUUGCCAACAAUAAACCCAGGGGUGAAGUAGCUUCCUGCUGUCAGGAUCAAAGCUAGGCUCUGCCCUCUCAUCUAUUCAACAUCAUAAUGGCAAUCAUGGGAGAGCAGUGAGGUGUGCAGUAGGAAGGAAAGAUAAAACUACCUGUUCACAGGCUGCAAACAGUCUAGCAGAAAGCACCUAGAGCCAGAAAGGGAGUCAUGGAGGUCAUGGUUUACAGGUCAGCACGCCGGAAACCAAGCUCGACUCCUUAAACGGGGGAUAAUCAACUCAAAACCAAAUAUUUAACAACCCUUUAAAAUACUUCCAAGUAUAAAAGAACCACACAAAAUCCAAUAACUGUGCACAGGGUAUGGGGUCUACAAAACAUGGAAUUCUGAUGAAAGCAGAUCUGGCCCUCAGAUCUAGCAUCCUUCCAUAACCCUAUCCAUAACAGCAUCCUCCUGGCCAGCAUAUCCCGCCCCCCUCUCCAAAGUCAAUAAAACUGUCUACUCUAUCCACUAGAGGAUACAGUGUAGCAAAGAGAACAGGUCAAUGUAUAGAUUUGGUGCAAUUCCAGUCAAAAGCCGGGUAGAUUUAAAAAUAGACAUUGGCAUGGUGAAUCUAAAGUUUAUACAGAGAAGCAAAGGAACUAGAGAGGCAGAAACAUCUGGAAACUACCGGAACACCCUUCUGCGGGUGUGGAUCAACAAAACCCAGGUAAAACUGGACCAAUAGAAAAGAGGGUCAGAGGCUGCCAAUGACUGAUAGAAGCAGGGUGUGACUACAAAGGGGUAAUAGGGGAGCUCUGGCAGGGGUAGGAAUGCACAAAUCUAUGCAUCAUCACAGAGUUGUCACUGUCCCUGUGAAAGCCAGUCUUACUACUUAAAACUUGAACUAUACAAACAAAAUAAAAAUGUAGUAGAGACAAACUAUCAAAUGAAAGAUGCAAGAGAGACACACACAGAGCCAACUUUUUUGCACUGUUUAAUUUUUUUCAGUCAUUGGCACAUAUUUGAGAUGCCUAUUGGUGACCCUAUGUCCUCAAAAGGCCAGGUUCUUCCUGGCCCCAAUGACAUCUCGGUAUGAUGUCCUGGGGUCUCCCUGACUCCUUAUCACUUCCUGAUAGCACCUGUAAUACAAGAAAGUCUGAACAUUCAGAGCUACCACACCUAGCACUUUCCUAAAGAGAAAGAAUUGCACUCUGGGAGGCCCCACCUUCAAACCAGCUCUAGUUGUCUAGCAAUGCAGCCUGUCCACAUGUGGUGCCAGAAGCCAAUAUGACAUGUGGUGACAGUAAGCCUACUGGGAACUUUUACAAACCCUUAGCACCCAUGCAUGCCGUAGAGUGCCAGAAUGACACCAUUCUUCAGCAUCCAUGCCAGGCCCUCCCUAGCUCUUCAUACAUGUGCACACAUGAGCACACACGUGCUCACAAGCUUCUCUACAUCUUUACCUCACUUGUAAUAUGCACCCCAGGACGACUCAAUACAACUUCAAGUCAGCCGCUCUCCUCUAGACUUACUUCACUUCACCGUCUUUUUAUUGCCGACUUUGACCACUCAGACCAGAGCUGUGGUCUUGGCAACAGGAGCAGAUCUCCUUUCAGGAGUGUGGGUGAAAGUGGGGUGUCUGGAAGUCAUGGAUUUAAACGGUUUCCCAAAGGACUCUUGUUUUCAAACUUUUCCUCUCCAGUUAAGGGUUGAUGUCAUUUUCCCCUGUAUUCCUCUCAAGCUUACGAUGACCUACACACAGGAUUGGGACAAAUCUUCACAAGCAUAGUGUUGAGGGGCUUCCAGAUGGGACUAUGGCGACUGCUACCAUCACCCUUCAGUGUGUCAGCUGCACCGGCCAAGCUCCUUGUUCUCAUGAGUCCCCUCUGUCCACACGGUCUCCUGCUCUGUCCCCUCUGCCCACACGGUCUCCUGCUCUGCCCCCUCUGCCCACACGGUCUCCUGCUCUGCCCCCUCUGCCCACACGGUCUCCUGCUCUGCCCCCUCUGCCCACACAGUCUCCUGCUCUGCCCCCUCUGCCCACACGGUCUCCUGCUCUGCCUCUCCCUAUUGAAACCCAAUCCUCUCCUGACGCCCAGCUGGCAGGCUUUCUUGAGGAACCUACUCAAGAAUUGGAAUUAACAGUUCUUUCCUCGUGAAUGUUAAUUAUAUAUAAUAGCCAUACGCUUAAAGGGUUUGGUCCAGUGAGGCUGGCUUUUCCUGAGCCUGAGGUGAGAAGAAUAUUAGUCAGGUGGUCCACUGUGACCCAUAAGAGCCCACAGCCUAUUGAAGAUUUCUGCAACUUCAAGGGGGUCUCAUGUCUUCACUGUCUGUGUAGUAAGUACUUUUGCUGCCCAAACGAGGCAACAUCACACACAUACACUCACAUGAACUCAUACACACACACACACACACACACACACACACACACACACACACCAUAAGCACAGCAGCUUUGCCAAGAUGUGAUAGAAAAACUGAAAGACUUUUUAUUCUAUCUGUUAUCCACAGCUUCACACAGCUGACUUGGUUUCUCUGGGCUCAAAUGGUCCAUCCCAACACAGAUAAGGAUAUCUGGGCCAACAUCCUACCCACAACCUGAAGCCAGUGUUUAGACACCUCACCCAUCCUGAGAUGCUUCUGUCACCAUCUCAAGUAUAUCCCUUAAGAUAGAAAUGUGCCUGAACCAGCCGGGCGUGGUGGCGCACGCCUUUAAUCCCAGCACUUGGGAGGCAGAGGCAGGUAGAUUUCUGAGUUUGAGGCCAACCUGGUCUACAGAGUGAGUUCCAGGACAGCCAGGACUGCACAGAGAAACCCUGUCUUGAAAAACCAAAAAAAAAAAAGGUGCCUGAAUCCACCCUUCUAGUACUUAGCACAGUGCCUGAUAUAUGUUACAUUCUAAAAAUUCACUAAGGCCAAACUUGCUCUUCAAUGUGAUAAAUAUGGUGUGAAUUAAAUAGAAAAAUAAAUAUUUUUGUCAUGAUAAUGGCAGAUGAAGCCUGUGGGUAUCCCAGAGGUAUGUCUCACACAGCGUGCUCUCCUUCAUUCUGCUCCUUGAAAAAACAUAUAUAUAUAUAAACAAAAUAUAUAUAAACAAAACAGAGCCACUGCAAACCCUCUUGAAAACACAAUAGCAUGGAUUCCACUGGCUGUCAGCAUUUCCAGAGGACAGAAGUGGAAAGUCACAACAGCUGCAGGGGCUCACAACAGAACCUGGGCCCCACCAUUCCCCAUGAGGUCAUCAUGCCAGCCAUGACAAGGACCUCAUUUGCUUGGACAGAACACAUUCAGACUAUCUCAGGAUGUGAACUGCAAGGAAUAGAGAGGACUUAUUUUUAGUUCAUUCCUCUCAACUGUAUUUCUGUCUUGCACCUCCUAAAAUUAGGUCUGCUGACUGAGGCUCUAUGGAACUGGUGUGGUGUGGGCUGCUGCAACUAUCACACUUCCGUAACCUCAGAUCUACUGUUGCGUUGUCCUUUCUUUAGGCAGCUAGGUCUCUGCUUCCUUGUGAGCCAGCCCGGUAGGGUUACCCUGAAGGAAGCAGGUACAACUCUGCUUCCAUGCAAAGACCAAGAGUCAUUCAGCUGCCCUAGACACUUAAGCACUAGAACAACAAUCCUGUUAGGUAUCAGCUGCCCUUGCCUGCCAGCUAUUCCUCUGACCUAUAGUAUAGUUAAUUUCAUUCUAAUAACCACACUGCAGUGGCAAAAAAAUAAAGCCACAUCAUAAUAUAAAUGUCACUCAUUGUAGAAAACUGUCAUGUAAACAUCUUUAAGAAUCAUAACUUUUGUUAUUUUUUUUCUUCAUUCCAAGUGAUGAUAGCAUCAAGAGGGUGAUUUGAAAAAUGAAGAAUCUUCAAGCAUGGAUGAAAAAUUUGCUUUUUAUUUUGGGGAAUAUACUUGCGGGGGGGCAGGAAGUAUGUGGGAACAUUACUUUCUGUUCAGUUUUGCUAAGUACUAAAGCUGCUAUGAAAAAUAAAGGCUACUGGGAAUAAAAUCUCAUGCGUAGUGUGGUGCGUUCUGGCAACUGGGAGGCAAAGACAAGGAAUCUCUGAGAGUUUAGAAUCAGCCUGGUCUACAUAGACAGCUCCAGAUAAGACAGGGCUAUAUAGUGAGUGAAACCUUGUUUCAAAUAAAGCAAAACAAACAAACAAACAAACAAAACAAAACAAAAAAAUCAAAAAACAAAACCAAAAAACAAAAUAAAACAAAAAAAACCAACAAACAGCAAAAAACCCACAAUCAAACAACAACACAACCCUUGUCCCCGCCCUAAAACCAACGAAACCUAACAAAAACCAAGUAUGAAAGGGAGUUAGGAAAGCUUUGUGGAAGUAGGUUUGUGUUUGUUUGUUUGUUUGGUGUUUUUCUUUCUUGCUUCUAAAAAAAGGUCUCUUUAUUCUGUUUUAUGUGCAUCAGUGUUUUGCUGGUAUGUUUAGAUGAGGUCAGAAGAGUGCAUGGCAUUCCCGGGAACUGGAGUUAAGGAUGGUUGUGAGCCACUAUGUGGGUGUUGGGAACCAAACCUAAUCAAGUAUGAUCAAGUACAUGCACUUGCCCAGAGAUCAUCUAUAAUGGCUGCUAAGACAACCAAAGUUUCCAGGAAUUGAUCAGACUCUCUGUAUAAGUAUAAAGUAUGAUAACCCAUGAUAGUAAAAAAAAUUAUGCAUAACCUUAAAUAAAGGAGACAGGAGAAACAGUUAUAGCCUCCUCAGAAUAUACCAAUGAGGAGAUAAGCCCUGGGUUUAUUGGGGAGAAAGGUGAGUAAGUCUUUGAAGGACAUAGUUAUCUAUCUAUCUAUCUAUCUAUCUAUCUAUCUAUCUAUCUAUCUAUCUAUCUAUAAACAUACAUAUCCAAGAAACAUAAAAAAGAGCUAGGACUGCCAGAUAAAAUAAGGCACUUAAGUUUGAAUUAAGCUCAACGAUUAUUUUAUGUGUUAAGUAUGACCAUAUUUGCUCCAUUCUUGUUCUAAAGCAAUUACUUAUUAGUUGAAUUUUUUAUUGUAUUUUUUUUUUCAGAUAGUGUCUCCCCGUGUAGCUUUGGCAGGCAGGGAACUCCCUUGAGAUCCUCCUGCCUCUGCUUUCUGGGCCAUCACGCCUCAUUGUUUUACUGUUGCUUUGUAUUUUAUUUGAAUUUAACUGUGUGCUUUCUAUUCUUAUUUUCUAACUCUGGCAGCAUAAACGAAGCAAUAAAAGGAGCGUAGGUGGAGUGAGAAGCGGGGGUCAUGGAGGUGGAGUACAAAAAUCAAAAUAAAAGGAAUAAGAUCAUUUAUUAAAAAGCAGGUCCCCAUCCGAUGACAUCUGUGAUCCACACAUACUGUUUCUGCCCCAGUUCUACACUAGGACUCAGCCUGGGUUGCAGGUUGGUCAGUCUAUGGGCUCUGGUCACAUCCAAGACUCAGCAUUUCAGAAGACAUCUUCGGGAACUGGGAGCUAUGGAAGAGGAAGUUAGCAGCUACUGCACUGCAGGUUCCUGUGACUGGGAAACAGUCAGGGAGAUGACAAUGCAAGCUGUCAUUGCAGGAUCCCCGCUGAAGCACACAGCUUCCCACAAUGCCUUCUGAGCAGAGGGCUAAAGGACACAAACACAUUUUCCCACCUUUGUGCUCUAACACUCCACAUGGUGCAGGUGGAGUCCUGCAGGCAGCAUCCUGAAACACAGUCAACUCCUCCGCAGUGAACGAAUCUUAUUAACGCGGUAACCCAUUGCCACCAUCUACAGAACAGGUGCACCACGUGCUUUCUGUGAGUUUUAAAAUAUCUCCGUGGAGAGCAAAGAUGCAGGGUCUGCUCUCUGAGAAAACAAUAGCAAAUUAGAACGGGGAAGGUGGGGCUGAAGGAUUAGUUGGGGCUUUUAAAUAAUUUCCCACGUGUUAAUUGUUGCUGUUCCUAAGUUUGUUGUUUCUGUUACAAUCGCAGUUGCUUUACAUAAUGUUCUUAUUAGUCUGGAGGUAUUGGCGGUGUUCUCUAACACUGUAGCAAAGAACCUGCUCUUGGCUUUCAGGGUAAAGCCAGGUGGAAGAUGCGAGACACUGGCUAGCCAGCUCACAGCAGCCUUGCCUGCACCCUCAGUGCCAACUCAGAAAAUAAAGCUAGGCGCUAGGUGUCUACCGGGUGUCUGGCCUUGGCCUUGGCAUAGCUGUCUGUCUCUGAGUCACUCACUAUUACUGCAUGAUCACUGGCCUACAGACCCUCUCCCAUACCUCAGCCCAUUCUGUUCAGGAGGGUGCUGCAAUGACGGGAGGAGAAAGCUUGGGAAGAAGAAAGUGACUCUUAGAGGGGCAAGAGGGUCCUUUGAAAGUGACACUUUAAGGAUCCCAAAGAUAGGAAAUGAUGAAAAGGCAACAUAUUACUCAAACUUCUGACCUGGGACUAGGAAGGGAGCUAUGCUCUCUGCUGUACUACCAUUGCUCCUUUGAUCUGGGAAUAGGAAACCAGCUCUAUACUCCCCAUUUCUGUCUGAGCAGGGAUGUGCUAUGCUCUGGAUUCAGGAAUCUACACUCUUCUGAGGCAGAGACCUAGCAGCUCUGUUAGCAUGAACUUAGUUCCCCACAGGAAGGCCUAGUCAUGGGUAGGGACUGAGCUUAUCUGGCACUUACUGUCCCCACCUUGUGCCCAUCAUUGCUGGCAGCAAAGCCCCUGUGUGAGCGCAUCCCCAGGUGGUUCUCCCCUAAAGACAGAGCUCAGCUCCUCUGCCUUGGCUCCACCUCCUCCUCCGUAGGAUUCUCUGCUGCUACAUGUGGUUCUGUUCCGUGGCUCAAUUGCUACUUUGUUUUCUAUUUAAAGGAAGAAACUAACAGAGCAGUGGAAAAAACAAUCGAACCACAAAGAAAAGAAUGGGAAAGAAGAGAGCAACUCUGGAAGCAGUGUGGGAUACAGAGAGGAGUCUUGGAUGCUAUGUCUAAGGCUUGGAGAAUGUGAUCUAUUAGUUUUCUAGCUUGCAGAUUGCAAUGGGCAACAGGAGUGGCUGAGAAUUCCAUCACCUCCUGAUCACUAGCAAAACGGCAGCUGGCUUCAUACCAGUGUUGAGGGCUGGUGUCAUUCUGCCAGAGUUCAACCCUAUCAGAUUUGUACCUGUGCACCCCUGGAUAAGUUCUUACCCGCUCUGUGCCUGUUAAAAUGAAAAAGAAUAUCACCUGGAACUGAAGAGAUGGCUUAGUGGUUAAGAGCACUUGUUGCUUUUGAAGAGGAUCUGGGUUCGAUUCCCAGCACCCACUUGGUGGCUAACAACAGUCCGUAACCUGAGUUCCAGGGAGUCCAACACCCUCUUCUGGCCUCCUAUGCUGCUGCACACACAUGGUGCAUGCACAUACACGCAGGCAAAACACUCAUACUCAUAAAAAAUUAAAUCUUUAGAACAGAAUACUAUCGCCUGCUAUGAUGGAGGUAUCAUGAAGAACAACCCAAUGACUAUGUAGCAGAGUGGAGCACCACUCACAGCUUGUUGGCGGUGGUCCCAGAACUGGUGACUGAGUGUGCAAGGAGAAGUGUACUAGCACACACCCCACAGCUAAAGAGGAAUCCACCUCCAGCACUAAGUGGGUGUGUGACACUGGCUCUGUCAGCACCUCUCUCUCUCUCUCUCUGUGCCCCAGCGUCCUCACCUGGCCCGACCAGAGCUGUCCCUACUGAAUCUAACUGUAACUGCAAGCCGUCCACGUUGGGUGCUUGGCACAGUUCCCAGGCCUGGCAGCUGUUCAGGAGGUGCCCGCCACUACUGUCCCACACCAUCAUCUUUAAACAGUCUCACUCAGCCCACUGGCAAGACAUUGCUCAUCCUUUUCUUUUUGAAAGGCACAUGUCUUGGAAUUAGAACCAUAAGAAGGAGGCUGGGGGUGCAGAUCAAUUUUGGUGUAGUGCCAAGUGCGCUACAGGUCCAUCUGUAAUACCACAAGGAAAUAAGAAACACCUCAUGUGGUUGUGUGAGGGGGGAGGGGUCAUUUAAAAAUAGGUAGAAACUAUCGGGGCCUGUUCCCUGCCUGAAAACCCAGCAUUGACAGGUGACACUGGUGGCUGUCCUCCGCGUGCUCAUGAGCCAGCAUGAUUUCAUUUACAUAACCAGGGUGCACUCUGCCCAGGAGUUACCCCGUGCUCUGCCUUUUAUUAAAGACUGUGGGAGUCCCCAGUACGGCUUGCCGCUGAGUCUUUGCAGAGCUGGGACCCUGUCUCUGGCUUUCACACUUGGUCAGGCUGGGUGUCUAUCACAUGAACUUGGAAAGAUUUUGUUUUUUUGUUUUUUGUGUUUUGUUUUUCUUUUAUGACAGCAGUUGGGACAAGAGAUAUGAGGCCGGCCGCAAAGGCUAGGAUGUCUGCCAGGUGUCCCUUCUAGUCACCUGGCUCAGAUGAAGACAGACCUGGGAGGGAGAAAUGGCUGGCUUGUGGUUCUCUAGGAAUGGCUUGUGAUGGUGGGAUUUCAGGUUUCCCAAGGCCAAAGUCAGCAGUCUGGGGUGUGAAUAAUGAGUCGGCAAGGAGACUCUUACUUCAGUAACUGGCUAGAUCAAGGUGUUGAAUCUUGGCAUAGUGUAAUUUUCCUUUCAUUUCUCUUAGAUAUUUCACAGGGGUGAUUCCUGCUCAGGACAGGCCCAUGUGAUGAGGGCCCUUCUGACUUGUGGUGACUCCUGGGUAUCAUGUGCAUAGCUGUGUACCGUACAGGCUUUUCCUUUCUGUGCCUGCCACCCACCUACCUCACAGCUGCGACAGAACACAUUUGAAUGUCAUCCUGAAUGGUCCCUUGCAAUUGUGAGUGGCAGGUCCUGACACACCUCUCUGGCGCAGACAGGAAAUCUGAUGCAAAAAAAAAAAAAAAAAAAAAAAAAAAGCCCCCAAAAACAAAACCAACUAGCUUGGUUUUCACAGACCUGUUGUUACUGCUCUCUAUGCAAAGCCACAAAGAAGGGAAUCGAGUUUUUAAAAUCACUAGCAGACAAAGGUGUCAUUUUGUAGAUUGGUAAGCAAGAAGAAAUGCUAGCUUAGUACAAUCAGCAUAGAAUGGUGCACUGCAAAAGCCCCCUUCAGGAUCACUGGGACCCGGGGACACUCCAGUCCCCAGCAGCAAUCAAAGCACUAGCUUGUUAAGAGAACACACAUGAGUGACAGUAUUUAGGAAUCUGUAAGCCUUUCAUUAUCGCUGUGCACUAGUGAACAUGCAAAUUAGCCUUUCCAUAUAUAAGUGUCCUAUCACCCAGGUCUCCCCACCCCCACUGUUUCCAAAAUAACAUCAAACCUAAGACUCCGGAGCAUCUCAUGGGGCUUCAGAGAACACUGCAGUUUCUCCACUGCUUUUCUUAUCAGAAGCCUUUGCAGGCCAGAGACGACGGGGAAGCUUGCCCCACGUAAGUCACAGCUUACAGGUCAAUACUGACAAGGAUGAGUACUUGGCUCAUGAAUCAUGCAAUCCUCGGUCCACAGGAGAAAAAAAAUGAUAGCACUGAGUUUCCAAAGGAAACGGCCUGACAAACAUUAAAGAGGGAACAGAAGAGCGAGGGCGCACUAUAAUUUCCGUUCAGCGGGAGUUAAUAAACAGUCUUCAGAACAGGUAGGCGAAGUGCCUGGCACCAUGGCAUCUUCUGCAUCCGUGCGUUGCCUCUCAUUGUAAAGCAAUGACAGCCAAGCCAGGCCCUCCUUGAUGUUUAAAUAACAAGGCACGCCCAGCUCUGGGACACCUGUUUCGCCUUGAGGAUGUUUUUAGCUUGAAUGGCAACAAUAAAAUUAAUGUUCAGAAAACCCCUAGGUCUAUUUGAUGAAUGAACACUUAGGCUACAACCAUGACUGUUACCAGCUGGUCAGUGAUGCCUACAUUUUACUCUGUAAGGGACCACGGCAGGCAGAUGAAAUCCAUGUACCUUUCUGAAGUUUCCGCUCUCAUUACAUCUAACACAGUUGGAUAAAAGGUACAAGAGGAUUUUGAAACAAAAGUUCAUUACAGUUCUGCUGCUCAAACCCAAAUCCAUUGUGGUUUAAAAAAAAAACGCAGAUAUUUAAAAAGCACAUCCUAUAAACCAAGCAACCAUAAUAAUUUAGUGCUAAGUGAGCCAACACACGCAUGCCACGGCGGGGAGUUGACAUGGCUUAUGGAUUUUAAGGAGAGGAAGGAAAAGGAGGAGAGCCAGAAAGAUAGAGGGGGUGGUUUCAGGAAAAAGUUGAGAGACACAAGGGCAGAGCUGCCUGGCUGAGCAGACGUUUAUCCCAAAGCCCCAACGUGUCCGCCACUCUUCAGCCACAUCAGAGACGCACACGUCUGGAGUUGGGGGUGGGGUGGGGGUGGGGGUGGCAGGUAUUGGGGGUGAAAGGAGAGAGGGAAAAGUCUUGGCAAUCAAUCAAGCUUUGGUUAGGCACCAGGCACUUCUAGGCUCAUCUGUGCACUUCCUUAUACAAGACUCCCCUUUUGAAAAAGAACCUUGUGGAAUAAGUUUAUGGAGAAUCUGAAUUCAGCUGGGUGGUGGUGGCACGCCUUUAAUCCCAGUACUGCGGAGGCAGGCAGAUCUCUGUGAGUUCGAAGCAGGCUUGGUCUACAGAGCUAGUUCUAGGCUAGCCAAGGAGAAACCAUGUCUCUAAAAACAAAAAUAUGAAAAACAAAAACACCACCACCAGUACAAAACCCCGCCUGAACUCUGGAUACCUGAUUGGCCUGGUUCCACUCAGGGUCACGCUCUACCCUGCCAGAUCGUGGGUGGCCAGCUAGGGAUGUGGCUAACUAGUAGAGUGCUUGCCAAGCAUGUGUAGGGUUACAGGUUACCACAACAAACACAUAAACACCAACAGACAAAUUUAUCCAGAGUGUACUGGAGCACCCCACCCACACCACUAUUUCCUCUUAGUAAUGCUUUAUCCACCACCCAACUUUACAGGUUCUCGGCUACAAAUUCCCAUUUCCCAGGCUGUAUUCAGAGUUGAGUCUGGUCUCUCACUCCCCACCAUGCCUAGGGUCCUGGAUAAUGUCUUGUUUAUUGGACUUUAACAAGUGCUUAGAGCCCUGACCACUAGUUCUGAAAAACUCCUGUUUCUCAGCCCUGAUUACUCAGUCACUAAUUUCCUGUCUCAUUCAUUCAUUCAUUCAUUCAUUCUCCUUCUUUCAUUCCUGUCUUCUCUCCUUCCCUCUUCUCUACCUCCUUUCCUCUGUCCUCCCUUCUUUCCUUUCCUUUCUUCAUAAGGUGAAUGUCUACUUCAAACCAGAAGAACACAAAAAUAAAUAAAAUUAAAAGCGACACUAAUAAAAUAAAAACAUAAUUAGAAACAAUGGCUGCUUUGAAGGAGGGAUAAGUAGCAAAGCCCAUAGGGUCAGUGGACCUGUACUUUGAUUUUAGUAGAGAGUUCCUUCCAGACAGAAGGAACAGAUAUAUAAAAGCCAUGGUUGAACAUGCCCUGGAAGAGGGGGCUCAGGAGGAGUUGGAGAGAGAAGCAGGUCCCAAAUUGUGAAAGCUGGGUUGAGCCCUGUUCAAAGGUCAUGGGAAGUCCCUGAGAGAAAAAGCAGAGGAGAAUGAUAAAAUGUAACUGUGCUGGGACCACUGGUGACUGGCGGUACACGGGAGGCUGAAGAAGGCCAGCUGGCUGUGGGGCAGACACUGGUGACUUGUCCCUGGAAAGGUCCAGAAAGUAUAUAUUCCAGGGAUGUUGGCCAAGGGGACAAGAGCAAGAUAGCUUGUGUAGCAAAGAUAGCCUGUAGAAAAUAAAUGAUUUCCACAAAAUAGUUAGCGCCUAAAAUUUAAAAUGUAGCAACAAGAAUUAGAACACAGGUCCCACAAGUGGAUAGGGAGUUCUUUUUGGUAGAAUAACUUUUCUCUUGGUUGGGAUGGCAGCUCUAUAGCAGAGACACAGCCACUGAGAUAAGCAAGUGAACCAGUGUGCUUGUGCUCCAGUUAACUGUAUUUAUGGGCUAAAAGUGGGGCAUCUUGUCAUUCCGUGUCUCACGAUAUCUUUUCCCUUCAAUUCUUUACCCUAGCUAUUGGCUGGCAGCACCUUGGUCACAGGCUGGGCUUGGGCCACAGACUCCAGCUUGCCAAGCUCGGCAGCUCUGCCCAUCGUCUCCACGUGUGUGUGAGCUUGCUUAGGCGGAUCUGAGUGUGUUUUCUCGCUGUGCGACAGCAGAUGGCUCAGGAUGUAAGGUCAUCCUAGCGAGAGGACACUAGCAUUGAUCCAUUUUAGAGGCACAGUUCCCUGCAUAAUUAAAAUUAACGUGCACAUAAGAAAGGGUUCUGUGGGGCGCUGCUCAGGGGCAGAGCCGCUGUUUGCAACGGGUGGGGCCACAAGUCAAUCCCCAACCUGGAAGAAAGAAAAGUAACUGCUGGGUGAUUCUUACACAACAUACAAAUUACUUAUCAUU